UACGAAGGGGGCUAGCGUUGCUCGGAAUUACUGGGCGUAAAGCGCACGUAGGCGGCGUUGUAAGUGUCGGGUGAAAUCCCACGGCUCACCCGUGGAACUGCCCGGCAUACUGCGAUGCUAGAGUGUGGUAGGGGAGAGCGGAACUCCUGGUGGAGCGGUGAAAUGCGUAGAUAUCAGGAGGAACACCGGUGGCGAAGGCGGCUCUCUGGUCCACAACUGACGCUGAGGUGCGAAAGCUAGGGGAGCAAACGGG
rnacentral:rRNA from 1 species